UAUAGCUCAGUUGGUACAGCAUGAGACUCUUAAUCUCAGGGUUGUGGGUUUGAGUCCCCAAUCUGGCAAAA